CAGCAGAUUGUCUGAAUGAGAUUUUGCGCGGAGAGUGAAUCGAAGAGAGGUAACGUCAACCGGUCAUGACUGUUGUUGACUAGGCUAGCGUUAGACACUGGACAACUUUGUUACAACUCUAGAUUAAGGAUGACAUCUUCAUCUCUGAAAAUGUUUUCAUCCUGGAGGAGAAUGUGCAGGAAGCAGAGGAAAGAAUGGUUUGUACAGCAUGCCAAACGGACCCCUAGGAGCCAGUGUUGCUGUGCUGCGGUAGAGAAGAGGUUCAUCGGGACCAUCACUAAAGAGCUCGGGGCCCCGCCCAUAUCCGCCAUAGAUGGAGCUGACGGAGAGUGAGAUCACUCGCUGAAUGAACCUGACAGCUCAGAAUUACAAUCAUCUCAGUGCGAGACAAGAUAUACUAUCUAUCACUUUGGGGGUGCGGGAUAGUGUUCCCGAAAAAUGGAGAAGGAGCAGGCCAUUCAACAGCGAAUUAAAAGAUACACCCAUCCUUAAAGGGAAUCAGAGUGGAAUUGUUUUUCCACAGAUUAAAAAAAAAAAACUGUUUUAAUGGAUGUGUUACCUUGUCCUACUGUUAUAAUGGAUGUGUUACCUUGUCCUACUGUUAUA